rnacentral:rRNA from 1 species
UGGGAUUUUCUAAGAGCAGCUUUUCCCGACAAUAAUAAUGGUAGUAGAAUAAUUGCUACUACACGCAUUAUCAAGGUUGCGAAGUCAUGUUGUUCUAACUCCGGUGAUCAGCUCUAUCAAAUGCCACCUCUGAAUGACGUUGAUUCCCGAAGGCUGUUCUUUAACAGAAUUUUCAACUUGGAGAACUCCUGCCCUCCUCAACUAGAAGAUGUUUCAGCUAGGAUCUUAAGAAAAUGUGGUGGUGUGCCAUUGGCUAUAAUUACCAUUGCGAGUUUGCUUUCCCAUAAACCUCAAAAUCCAGCUGAAUGGGAGAGACUCCAAGAUUCCAUUGGUGCUGGCCUU